GAGCAGGACUUGGAUGUAUUCUGGGAGAUCUUGGUGACAAUGAUGAGGGCCCAGAUGAUGGAGACGGGAAUUUAGAUGAUGAUUUUGAGAAGAUCUAGUUUGGAAGAUGGAAAGAGAAAUGGCCGAAGGUCACCCUAGUGGCUGCACACAAUAUUCAAUGCUAAGAUUUCCAAGAGUAUAAAGCAUUGCCGUCAAUGGAGAAGAUGAUUAACAUGGAUGACCAGUGAUGAUCCAACUAUCUCCACACUUUCAUUUAUUUUAAUAUCCCUCAUUUAAUAGCCCACCUUACUUUUUUCUUUGGGGGAAAUGUGGGUUUGGUGCUGUUAAGUUCAAUGACCAUCUGUAGUUAGGAUUUUAGUUUUUAUUAUUAUUAUUAUUAUUUUAUUUUAUUUUAUUCUGUUUUCUUCUGGUUUUUAUUUUUGUUAUUUUAUCAAUACAACAAUAAUUCAUGCUGGGCUUGUCUUUUUAAUAUAUAUAUAUUUUUUUCUAAAGACCUAAAUCAUGUACAUUAAAUUUUUUGUCCUUGUUUUUCGAACACAGAUGUCCUUUAGCAUUAACAUAUGCUCAAAACUGUAGAGAUGUGCUCUUUGUUUUGCAGAAGCAGAGCUAUAUUUCUUCAGAAAAUUGUCAUUUUCGUCGAGCAGUUUUGGUUGCUUAAAUUUGGAGAGUCCCGGUAACAUUUCUGGUAAAGCUAUAUUAUUUCAGAAAACAAACCCUUUUCCUCAUAUGAUUAAUGGCUUAUUGCUUGAUUAGUUUUGGACAAAUUAAUAGGGUGUAUAAUACCUUAUUAUGCAGGGAAGCAAUUGGAAAAAUUCGUAUUAGUCUUUUAUAUAGAAAAAAAACUCAAAACAAUUUUUGUACAAAACUUCUCGUAGAGCUAGGUAAUAUUUUUUUCUUCUAAUUUUUCAUUUAAUCAGUUAUUGUAAUUGUGAUAUCUCUUAGCUUCCAAAUGCCCAUCCAUGUGGCAUCUACGGAAUAAAUGAAAAGCAAUGGGAUCUGUGAAUAUUUAACUCCCAGAACCCUUUAUAUUUUCACAGCACAGAGGUAUUCUCUUCUCAAUUUCUCUCAUUCAUUGUAUUCUCAAAAGUAGUGUAAUUUUUUUUUUUAUUGAAGUCAUUAUCUUUAAAUCUAUGACUCUAUUUUACUUUGCUUUACAAAGUAGUCUCCGCUCUGUUUUAGUUUGAAUCUUUGCUUUUUCUAUUCUAUUAAAACUAAAAAGCUUCUCAACCUUCAAAAUCAAGGUCUCUUUAAUUUUUAUUUAUUUAUGUUCUUUCUUCUCUAGUUUUGGUUUUUUUGCUGAGGUGUGCUAUAUUUACAUUCCUUUCUUUGUGAAGAAAAAGACAUAACAUAUAUGCAUUGGUAAUUAUAUUAUGUAAAAAAUAUAGCAUUUAUGAUGUGUAUUGAGAAUAAGCUAUCACCCAUUUCAUUUUGUCCAUUUUGUCUACACAUGUCUCUACACAUAUAUAUGAUCUCUUUGAGAAUAAGCUAUGAUGUGUAUUGAGAAUAAGCUAUCACCCAUUUCAUUUUGUCCAUUUUGUCUACACAUGUCUCUACACAUAUAUAUGAUCUCUUUGAGAAUAAGCUAUGAUGUGUAUUGAGAAUAAGCUAUCACCCAUUCUUAAUAUUCACUUAAUAUUCUGCACUUGAUGAAUAUUAGGCAUGAUCAUGCUUCUUUGCAGAAAGAAUUCUGAAUGAUUUCUGUGAAAUAGUUUUGAAAUGGUUCUUUUUCUAUGAAAUAAUUUCUAUUGGUUUCUCUUUAAUGGGUUUGAGGGGUUUCUAAUACAUUGAAAUAAGAUGAUGGAAACUCUCUUUUUAUCAGAUGAUGGAAAAAUAAAUUAGUUUUUCCAAUUAUGAAAUUUUGAUACAUGAUCACAAUUGUUUUGUUUGCUCAAAUGGCUAUUUAUCUUAAACAGCUAACUAUUUUGCCUUUACAAAACACUGCUAUCUCUUAUUUAAGUUGAUUUUUCUUUUUUCUUUUUUAUUUUUUAUUUUUAAAAGAUGAAAUGAAACACUGCUAUGACAAUUUUUCUUUUUCAAUUUAGAUACUGCAUUAAAUUAGGAAAUGCUUUAGCUUUUUACAAUGGUUUAUUUAGCUAACCAAACUUGAAUGGCGAAAAAAGAUUCAUAUAGUUGACUCCACUUGAUUGGGACACAAGGCUUAGUUUGGUUUGGUUUGUUAUAAUAGUUUAUUUAACUAAAUAUUGUAUAGUGGCAUAUUGAAUUUCAACAUUUUUCUACAUUGCAAAUGUUGUGUAAAUUUUCGUCUUGUAUGCUCAUUUUUUCCCCUGCAUGUUGUAGUUAGUUUAGAAGCAAUACAAAUGGUUAAUGUUCAAUUAUUUGGGACUCGUGGAGCUCACAUUUUAGGGAUAUAGUGAUAUGGGGAUCAGAUAUGUUAGCAACCAAGCGAGGGAAGUCAUGUAGUCGUCUCAUUUCUUUUACCGAGCCAAUGAACCGUCUUAUUUACUUAUUUGGUAGGUUAUAAAUAAUAAUAAAAUAAAAAUUGUUUGGCCACUUUAUAGAACUCUGUGGCUGGAAGAUUUUGUGAUUUGGUGGGUCGACAUGGGUUCGAUAAUGAAAAAAAUAUUUAUGUCGCGCCCUGGGGGCUUUGGCUCUACAGUUCAGACUCAAAUGUUAUGGUUCUAAAUCUAAUCUUGCAAAGUGCAAUGCGAGACCGAUAAAUCACUAAAGAGUUCAAA